rnacentral:misc_RNA from 1 species
CACGUCGAUCACGUCAUCUCGUACCAUUCACAUAUCUUCCUCCUCUUGCGCUAAAACAAAUUCACAAGUUUAAGGAAACAAACAACAUGCGAAACGAGAUAGAAUACUAAAAACACAUACUCACACAGUUCGCACAGGUGCGGACGCUUUUGUGUCCAUGACUCAACAUAACCUGUAAUCAUCAAAAUCCACGUUCUCUCAUGGAAACUCUAAAAACCUGCAGCAUUGCGAUUCCCACCGGAACGAACUGUCACGUGACUGUCAUCCCAUUGGGGAUGUCAUUAUAAAAAGCGUAGCGACACAAUUCAAAGGGGAAUUAAUUGUUAGCGUUCGGGAGAAUUUAGUGAAAAUAAAGAGA